rnacentral:tRNA from 1 species
AGGCAGUUAGUCCAAAACAAGAUAUUUGAUUUCGACUCAAAAGAUCGUGGUUAAACUCCACACCCGCCUC